GGCCUCUCUCCUUGGCUUGUGGUUGGCCAUCUUCUCCCUGUGCUUUCACACGGCCUUUCCUCUGUGCAUGUCCCUGCUUCCAUCUUCUCUGCCUACAAAGACAUCAGCCAUAUUGUAUUAGGGAUAACCCAUAUGACCUAAUUUAACCUUAAUUACCUCUUUAAAGGCUCUGUUUCCAAAUACAGUUACAUUCUGAAAUAUGAGAAGUUAGGACUUCAACAUGUGAAUUUUUCUACAUCUAGGAGACACAUUUAGGCCAAUAACAGUAUACCUGGCAAUGUUUAUUUCUUUAUUUGCUUGUUGCCUAACAGGCAGACAUUUGAAUGUCUGGCAUUCUUCACAUGGGAUGAGAAAAGUUGGUGGAGAGGUUGACUCUUCCAUAUAUAAACUUUCAGGUAUUCUCCGUAUUUUUGACCCUUUUCUCACUCCUGUCUUUGGCGAGACUUGGAGGUUCUGAGCCUUGAGCCCCUCCUAGGCUCUGCAGAUGGACUCCUCCCUCAGCUGCCUGCCUCCUACAGCCUCUUCAUCUGCAUUUUCCUCUGGAGACACAGCAUCUUCUCUGUCCUCCUCCUUCCUGUCCCUUUGUGGACCCCUUACAGCUGCUUUCUCUCCCUUUCUUCCUCAAACACCAUCUUCUCUGCUCUCAUUAUUUCAGAAGUUUGCUAAACCCUCUCACUUGCUUACGUUAUCCUGUUAUUUUCAUCAUUUGGGUUUAUACUAUCAUUUUAAUGGAGUCUCAUAGAAAUGAGAGGUAAACACACAAGCAUUUUGGAAAGACCCCUCUGAAUGCAGUAUGGAGGGUACAUUGGUGGGGCAAGAAGGCAGAAAAGAGACUUAUGGUCUUUGGGUUAUUAGCCUUGGGCCUCUGCAGAAUGAGCAUCACAGGCCCAGGAUGACAGGAGGUGCGGAAGGCAAGGGCAGCAUCCCAGGAGCCCAGGACUCUCUACCAGUGGGCAGCCACAUCGCUGUCCACGGUUUGGUGGGGAAAGUUCCCCAUCAAUCAAAAAUUCUGUCAGCACCCAUGAGUCAUCACUGAGUGUCUUACCUCCUUUCCUGAGAAAAUGGCAAGGACUUUGUUACCUGUGCAUCUAUUUUUCCAUAAGUUGAGAAGUAACUGACCCUGGGAAGAUGACUCAGAGCAUCAGAAAACCAGCACGUUUCUGCUUCUCUUACAAGCCCUGGUCUUGACAGACACGAUUGCCCUUUCUAUUUACAUCAUAAUACAUUGAUUGUUCUGUUUGAGACUCCAGGUAAUGGAUGGAGGGCAGUGAAAGGAUGUGUGUGAACUUUCUGUCAUGAAAGACAAUUUACAGGAACUAAUCAUCUUACAAUUGUUGCUCAGAAAAAAGAAAUUCAUCAACCAGGCACCCCCAAACAGAUACAGUGAGAAGUCAUCCAUCUGCAAACUAGGAAGAAGGCCCUCGCCAGACACUGGAUCCACUGGCAGCUUGAUCUUGGAUGUCCCAGCCUCCAGAACUGUGGGAAAUAAAUGUUUGUUAUUGAAGCCA